rnacentral:rRNA from 1 species
UACGGAGGGUGCAAGCGUUAAUCGGAAUUACUGGGCGUAAAGCGUGCGUAGGCGGCCUGAUAAGUUGGAUGUGAAAGCCCCGGGCUCAACCUGGGAACUGCCUCCAAAACUGUCAGGCUUGAGUGCGGAAGAGGAGUGUGGAAUUUCCUGUGUAGCGGUGAAAUGCGUAGAUAUAGGAAGGAACACCAGUGGCGAAGGCGACACUCUGGUCUGACACUGACGCUGAGGUACGAAAGCGUGGGGAGCAAACAGG